UUGUGCCCGAUAUGCCAAAGGGAGGAGAGUAUAAUGAGGCAUGUUCAACGCCCUCCUCCCAUCAUGGCCUGAACUAGUUUUUCAGGUUUCUUUGAAAUCCCCUUGGCUGAGAGGACGGGUCCAUUCAAUUUGGUUGUGGGGCUUAGAAUUUUAUUUUCGGUUUACAGGGAUAAGCUUUAGCAUUGCUUUUAGGUAGUGUUGGCAGUAUAAGGCAUAGUUAGGUGGGGAAAAAGGAUGGUAAAAAGAGGAGAAAGAGAAGACCUUUUAAAGAUGAAGAAGGAGGUUAGCUGAUGGGAAGAAGAGAAAAGUACAAAUGGCUAGGGAGUGGCCAAGCCCUCCCACACCCACCUCCAUUGUCUCUGGGGAAUAUUGAGAGAGGUGCCUCUUGGAAAGAGGGUAUCAGGAAGAAGGAGACAGGCCCUCAGCACCUGAGGGAACUCUCCCAGCAGUUCUCAGAGAAGGGUGCGACUUGCGGA
rnacentral:lncRNA from 10 species